rnacentral:rRNA from 1 species
GAUGAACGCUAGCGGCAGGCCUAAUACAUGCAAGACGAACGGUAAGUUGAGUAGCAAUACUUAGCCAAGAGUGUCGUACGGGUGCGUAACACGUAUGCAACCUACCCUAUACAGGAGGAUAGCCUAGGGAAACCUGGAUUAACCCUUCAUAGUAUUAUUGGAUGGCAUCAUUUGAUAAUUAAAACUGAGGUGGUAUAGGAUGGGCAUGCGUCUGAUUAGUUAGUUGGCGGGGUAAUGGCCCACCAAGACGAUGAUCAGUAGGGGUUCUGAGAGGAAGAUCCCCCACACUGGCACUGAGAUACGGGCCAGACUCCUACGGGAGGCAGCAGUAGGGAAUAUUGGGUCAAUGGAUGCAAGUCUGAACCAGCCAUGCCGCGUGCAGGAAGAAGGGCCUUCUGGGUUGUAAACUGCUUUUGAUUGGGAACAGAUGACUCUUGCGAGAGUAGCUGAGUGUACCAAUAGAAUAAGCCACGGCU